GACGAACGCUGGCGGCGUGCCUAAUACAUGCAAGUCGAGCGAAGGACUUUUAGUCCUUAGCGGCGGACGGGUGAGUAACACGUAGGCAACCUGCCUGUAAGACUGGGAUAACAUAGGGAAACUUAUGCUAAUACCGGAUAGGGUUUUCUCUCGCAUGAGAGGAAACGGAAAGAUGGCGCAAGCGAUCACUUACAGAUGGGCCUGCGGCGCAUUAGCUAGUUGGUGGGGUAAUGGCCUACCAAGGCGACGAUGCGUAGCCGACCUGAGAGGGUGACCGGCCACACUGGGACUGAGACACGGCCCAGACUCCUACGGGAGGCAGCAGUAGGGAAUUUUCCACAAUGGACGAAAGUCUGAUGGAGCAACGCCGCGUGAACGAUGAAGGCCUUCGGGUUGUAAAGUUCUGUUGUUAGGGACGAAACCGUACCGUUCGAACAGGGCGGUACCUUGACGGUACCUAACGAGAAAGCCACGGCUAACUACGUGCCAGCAGCCGCAGUAAUAC
rnacentral:rRNA from 1 species